rnacentral:rRNA from 1 species
UACGGGGGGAGCAAGCGUUGUCCGGAGUUACUGGGCGUAAAGGGCACGCAGGCGGUCGUACGCGUUUCGGGUGACAGCGGGUGGCUUAACUGCCCGAGUGUUCGAAAGACGGUACGACUUGAGGGCUCGAGAGGGACACGGAAUUCCGGGUGGAGUGGUGAAAUGCGUAGAGAUCCGGAGGAACACCGAAGGCGAAGGCAGUGUCCUGGCGAGUGACUGACGCUGAGGUGCGAAAGCUAGGGGAGCGAACGGG